rnacentral:rRNA from 1 species
GAUGAACGCUAGCGAUAGGCUUAACACAUGCAAGUCGAGGGGCAGCGAGGGUAGCAAUACCUGUCGGCGACCGGCGCACGGGUGAGUAACGCGUAUGUAACCUGCCCGCAACAGGGGGAUAACCCGGCGAAAGUCGGACUAAUACCGCAUAAAACAGGGGUCCCGCAUGGGAAUAUUUGUUAAAGAUUUAUCGGUUGCGGAUGGGCAUGCGUACCAUUAGGUAGUUGGUGAGGUAACGGCUCACCAAGCCUUCGAUGGUUAGGGGUUCUGAGAGGAAGGUGCCCCACACUGGUACUGAGACACGGACCAGACUCCUACGGGAGGCAGCAGUGAGGAAUAGUGGUCAGUGGGCGAGAGCCUGAACCAGCCAAGUCGCGUGAAGGAUGGCUGCCCUAUGGGUUGUAAACUUCUUUUACAAGGGAAUAAAAUGAGAUACGGGUAUUUUAUUGCAUGUACCUUGAGAAUAAGCAUCGGCUAACUCCGUG